UGCCAAGGAAGCCCUAAGCUACAGGGCCAAAGAUCAUGGACGAAACCUCUGAAGCCAUGAGCCUGGAUAAAACCUCAGUAUGCCUUGUUUAUCUCAGGUAUCUGUCACAGAGAUGGAAGAUAUCGCUAGAAGUUCUUUGAAAUCAUGAAGAAGUUUCUUCUUAUACAAGAGCAAAGCAAGAAGAAAUGGGAAGUUUGGGACGGGGCUAGAGCUGCAAGAGGAGGCUGAGAAGCAAGAGAAUCUGUGACAGUACCAGGGCUCCAGGGGCGUUGGGAUCCAGAGCGCAGCUGUCAGGUGAGUUCUCGGCUUCACCUCGGAGUUCUCCCGCUCCGCGCCAGGGGAGGCGGCUUAGGAGCAAGUCGGGGGUGGAGAGGCGCCCAGGUAGGCCCGGCCCCUCCCCGCCCUGCCUGUCUUCCCACCUCCGACCCGACUGCUCUCCCAAACCGUGCCCCGCGCAGCCCCUGCAGCCCCCG
rnacentral:lncRNA from 1 species